CCUACGGGGGGCAGCAGUGAGGAAUAUUGGUCAAUGGGCUUACGCCUGAACCAGCCAAGUCGCGUGAGGGAAGACUGCCCUAUGGGUUGUAAACCUCUUUUGUCAGGGAGCAACGCCGGCUACGUGUAGCCGGACUGAGAGUACCUGAAGAAAAAGCAUCGGCUAACUCCGUGCCAGGAGCCGCGGUAAUACGGAGGAUGCGAGCGUUAUCCGGAUUUCUUGGGUUUAAAGGGUUCGUAGGCGGACGGAUAAGUUAAAGGUAAAAUCCCGAGGCUCAACUUCGGAAUUGCCUCUGAUACUGGGCGGCUUGAGAGCACGAACGGUAGGCGGAAUGUAUGGUGGAGCGGGGAAAUGCAUAGAGAUCAUACAGAACGACGAUAGCGAAGGCAGCGUAC
rnacentral:rRNA from 1 species